UGAGUAACAGUCUUCAGCCAAAAGAAAAA
rnacentral:piRNA from 1 species